CUCUAGGACACAAGAGAGAAAGAGAGCAACUGGAUAUUUCUCUGGACAAACCCGUUACCAACACUCAAUUGCCGGCAGAAAUAAUCAGGACAUAUGCAAAGACAGUGUCCACUGAGACCUGUUGCAACCCGAGGAAGACUUCCACCUGCCCGAGCACCACGACCUCAUUUGCAGUGAAGAACGGUACUCCUCUUCUCUGGAAACUAAAAGAGCAAUGGAACCUGUCGGAAUCAAGGUAGAUGAGUGCGGUCAGAUUUCUGCAAAGAUGGCUCAUCUUACUAUGAAGAAGGUCGAAGAUACACCGGUUUCGCAGUCACCACAGAAACAGAGGUACUGUUGGCCAGAUCUUUGCCUGCACCUUUAGGUACACAAGGAGCAGAAAUAGUUACUCUAACUGAAGCUGCUAAAUAUGCGAUUGGAGUAAGGUUUAACAUUUAUACAGACUCUAAAUAUGCCUUUGGUGUAUGUGAUGCUACGGGGACUUUAUGGAAAGAAAGGGUUUUUCUGACUUCAGCGGGAAAAACUGUUGCCCAUGGACAACAGAUCAAAGACCUCUUAGAGGCAAUCCAAUUGCCCUCUGAAAUAUCUGUGAGCUAUAAAGGCACAUACACAGAGACAAGACAUGAUCGCAAAGGGAAAUUCUCUAGCUGA